UCCGAGUGCGCUCCACGUGUAGCUUGGAUUGUUUUCAUGAACGGACAUCUGCUCUCCAUGGGCUGUGCUUCGUAUUUCCCGCUGGUUCACGCAUCGUCUGUGAGUGUUAUUGUCCGACUUAAUGGAAAUAUGUUGUAUGCAAAUGUUUAUGUUUGUAGGAAUGCAGUGAGUAUUCCUUGCGGCUAAGCUACUAGCGGCUAGGCUGGUUAGCCUCUCAGUUUGUGCACCGUAGGUCAUUGUGUGAAGUAUUCUGUUAUAUUUUAGCUCGUCAGUUGGGCAGUCAAUAAUAAACUGUUAUGUCUGUAUUGUCUUUACAGUUUCACCAAGUAAAGAGACUUCAGUAAAACUGACAACUGCGCUGGAGUUUUCUUUCAAAUGGUUUAACUGGAUGGAUAGCUAGCUCAGUGCUAGUGAGACCCUUACAGGUUGUGUUAAUAACAAGCUGUCUGUAAUCUUUAGGAGGACUACAGGAGGACCAUAUCAGAGAUCGAUGAGAAGGAGUACAUCAGUUUGAAAAUCAUCGUCUCAGAGCUCAGGAACCAAUAUGUCAUCCUUCAUGAUAUGAUCCUGAAGAACAUUGAGAAGAUCAAGAAACCAAGAAACAGCAAUGCUGAAGCUCUUUACUGACAACCUACACACACACACACACACACACACACACACACACACACACACACACACACACACACACACACACACACAAGCUCAGUCAACAAUACUGACCAAUAAUUCUAUUUUUUGUCGUGGACUAUCUGUUAUUUUUCGGUUUUUACAACCUCGGGACAAUUCACGACGUGUCACAUCAGGCGCUACUUGGGCAGAUAUUUGCUGUUGCCGGGCUCACUGUACUGUACUAUCUGUAUAACCCCAGCUGUGUGGGUCCAUAGUGAGCUAAGGUAAUCCAUUAAUAUGCUUUUGAAAAAGCAAACAGAUACAUUUCAGCUGUUCCUUUUGGCCUGACCCUGCAUUCUCCCACAUGCUGUCUGACACGUAACCAUCGGUCUUGACUUCUCAGUACUCUGCAGCGUGACCUCUGACUUUUUCCCAUAAGUACUGGGCUGCAAGCUGUAGUUGCAAAGCCCCUCCUCCCAUCUGCUCCACUGGGACUGAAGCUCAGAGCCUCCUGCUGCUUCUCUUCCUGUCAGGGUCCUGGUUGAGUUUUGCUCUCAUGGAUGCCGUGCCUCUCCCAGGAUUUAUUGUCAGUUUUUGACACUUUUUUUUAGCUCCUUCCUUUUAUUUAGUUCAUACCCCGUGUCUGGAACUUGGACAAAAUUGGAAUUUAAAACUCCAACUCCAGCGAGUCCUCUCCUGGUGGCCCUUAAACUGUCAAGAACUCCCAUUUCAAACAAUAUGCAGAGAUGCGACUGAAAAGUUUUGUCCGGCAUGACUUCAUUUCUCAUUUUUGAGUCUUGGUCUUGACGUGAAGAAUAUUUUGUAUUCUUCCCCCUGCCCACUUUCUUUUUUAUUCAGUGCUUGUUGUAUCUUAGCGUCAUACUGUUACUCUGACAUUUCAAGAAAACCCCAUUUAGCCUGCCCUCCUUUUACUGUGACACCCUUGCCAAACCAAAAGGAAAAAAGAGAGUGUCUGUAGUUCCAUGAAGCUGUUAUAGUUUUUAAGGCCCUGCACAGUUAAUAUCAGUUUCAAUCUGGACUCUUCAGUUUUCCCCAGAUGUAUUCUGCUAUAAUAAUGUUAUUUUGUAUUUUGUUCACAUUGUGAUGCCAUAUUGAAGCCCGGUGCUUUAAUGAACUUUUGCAACUGACCUUAUGGGAAAUUAAAAAGUCACGUCCAGGAUCGCCUUUAAAGUGCAUGCACAAAUGUUUUUAUUUCAACUUUUUAUGCAAAUAAAGUGUUAAAGGAACAAA